rnacentral:rRNA from 1 species
UGGGGAAUAUUGCACAAUGGGCGCAAGCCUGAUGCAGCGACGCCGCGUGAGGGAUGACGGCCUUCGGGUUGUAAACCUCUUUCGCCAGGGACGAAGCGCAAGUGACGGUACCUGGAGAAGAAGGACCGGCCAACUACGUGCCAGCAGCCGCGGUAAUACGUAGGGUCCGAGCGUUGUCCGGAAUUACUGGGCGUAAAGAGCUCGUAGGUGGUUUGUCGCGUUGUCCGUGAAAACUCACAGCUCAACUGUGGACGUGCGGGCGAUACGGGCAGACUGGAGUACUGCAUGGGAGACUGGAAUUCCUAGUGUAGCGGUGGAAUGCGCAGAUAUCAGGAGGAACACCGGUGGCGAAGGCGGGUCUCUGGGCAGUAACUGACGCUGAGGAGCGAAAGCGUGUGGAGCGAACA